UUACCACAAAACGAUUUUAAUUUAACGGUUCAUGUUUAAUUCAACAAUAGAGGACGUUUUAAGCAGUUUACAAGUCCUCUUUCUUUUUCAUGUUAAAACGUAUUGACUCAUCGGUAUCGGUGAAUAAAAUACUCAUGUUUUGAGUGUUGUAUGGCUUGAAGACUGAGCUGUUCUUCUCCCCUUUACUCCACUCCUGUUUUAGCAGUCCAGCUUUUCACACAGUAAUUUAUGCAAAAAAAGGCAGUAAUUACUUUUGAGGGAGGAAUUUGAUUAUCGCAAGUCUGUUAAUUGUUCAGUUACUUUGAGGGGAAGCAACUUGUCAAUUGCCUUUUAAAGUUUGAUGACAACUGAACAGUUUAGCUUUUGCCAAGCUACAAAGGCUGAGAAAAUGGCCAAUUGAUUGCAAAUAUGAUACCAAACGAAGUAUUUUCUUAAUUCAAGAGUCACGUUCUCGUUUGCAUCAAGUUAAAACCUCAACGUUGCUACACUAGCCUGCACCCACUUAUAAUUUAACGUUGGCAUGUUUUUAGUUCUUCACAAAAACAAUGAGCUUUUAAAACCAAUACCAAAUAAGAUUUGGACCAAACAAUAUAACGAUCUUCGUUCGCCUCAGGAAAGUCUGUGUUAAAGAAGACGAUAAUUGCAUGAAAAGAUUUGCAUAAGUUGUCUGUAAAAAGGUUUUCUUGCACCGUUUGGUUUUGUCUUUAUCCGGCCGAAUUAGUUAAAACUACAAACGGGUUACGAAUUCCCUCCCUCCCGCCGGUUUGAUAGGAAGCCUAUUGAACUACCUCCCACAACAGCUUUUAACGGCUGCCGGCUCAACUUGUUUACCACAAGGGCACCAAAGAAAGUGUGCAACAUUCGCAAACACAAAUGAACAGUAAAUAUAUGUGUAGUACAGAUGCUGCUACUUUUUGUCCUGCUUGUAAUGAUUUUCUGCGCAUAAUGUAACUUCACCUGUCUGAAAUUAUAACACAACUGACAAGUCGGAAAGCAAUUUUCUUGAUAAUACAUUAAAACGCCAAAGUACAUGUAUGUCUUGAAAAUAUACAUCAAGUCAAAUUUAUUCAUUUUUAGUUGAAUGAAACGUCGACGAGGCGGACUAAAUGUGUUUGGCAGUCUGGAAGGACAGCGAGCGGAAAAGAUAGAUUACUCUUGAUUAACCUCAGGAAGGCUUUUCAGUCACACCAUCACUCCGUCAAACGUGGACAAAAUCAGUUUGUUCUGAUAAGCAUAUUCAAAAGUUUGGACUGGAUUCAAGUCGAGUUUCCGUAAAAGAACAUUGCGAAAGCACUUUGUACCUGCGGACGGACCACGAGGCAGGGAAAUAACUUCGUUGUCCCAAUUUAUUUU